UACGAUCCAGGGGAGGAAGAAAAGGGGAGCCAAACCCUAGCUACUAGAAAUCAAGCAAAUUGAGUCACAAUUUGUGUGAAAUUCCUAUGCAUGAGCCCUAAAAAUCAAGCAUCUAACCUUGGCUAGUAAAGAGGCAUAAAGGAAGAAGGUACAAGCACCAAGAAACCGGAAGGCGCGCAAGAUCGAGGUAAAGCACCUCUAUAGGCGAUUUGGAGACAUGGAGCGAGCACAUGUUCAAGCCUCAUUAAACUAAGCGCUUCCGCAAGUUUACAUGCAUGCUUUUGGGUCUAUGUUUUUGUUACUUGUUUAACCUUGUUAGAAGUUUUAGAUUUGAAAACUUGUUGUUUUGUUUGGGAUGGUCUAGUGUAAAAAGGGUUUUAUGUGAACAUUGUCUAUUAUGUCAAAACAGGGGUGACGUCCGUUUUACGAACGGGUCAUGCCCAAUUUUUGUAAAUUUUUAUUAUGUGUUAA